rnacentral:rRNA from 1 species
AUUGAACGCUGGCGGCAGGCCUAACACAUGCAAGUCGAGCGAGCGGCGGACGGGUGAGUAAUUUAUGGGGAUCUGCCCGAUAUAGGGGUAUAACUACUGGAAACGGUGGCUACUACCGCAUACUAUCGGUUGCACCCUUAUGGGAUUAGCUAGUAGGUGGGGUAAAGGCUCACCUAGGCGACGAUCUCUAGCUGGUCUGAGAGGAUGAUCAGCCACACUGGGACUGAGACAAGGCCCAGACUCCUACGGGAGGCAGCAGUGGGGAAUAUUGCAAAAUGGGCGCAAGCCUGAUGCAGCCAUGCCGCGUGUAUGAAGAAGGCCUUAGGGUUGUAAAGUACGUUCAGCGGGGAGGCGUUACCCGAAGAAGAAGCAACGGCUAACUCCGUGCCAGCAGCCGCGGUAAUAC